AUAUGGGUGUGGGUGGGUGACGGCGUGACGCCUCUGGUGCCAAAUUGCGGGUUCUUCCUUGCGCUCUUUCACACUCCUGCAAAGCCUUUGUCUUCAUCUGUAAGUCAAAUUUGCUGUAGAAAUCUCAAUUUUGUUUCGAUUCAAUAUGAUUCUUUGAAUUGAAGUCAAAUUUCGCAAAUUUUUGGUGUAUUUUUUUCGAUUUUUAGUCACAGAAUUGGAGUGAUCUAGAAAACCCUAGAUCUUGAACUUUCGUUGUUUAGUUUACUGCGAUUUAGGGUUGCUUCGUUGGAAUCAGUCUAUGCAGUGGACUUUCGUGGUGGAUCUUGAGUUUUUGGGACGUAACAGCUCGGUUUUUGGAGGUUCUAGGUUUGGGGUUUUCUGGGUUUGAGGUUGGUUUGUGGUGAAUUCUGCUGAUUCUGGUUUUAAGGAUCUUUAGGGUUAUAGGUUUAGGUAAUGGCUUCGAGUCCUCCAUUCGCGGUGGAGGAUCNNN
rnacentral:lncRNA from 1 species